rnacentral:tRNA from 1 species
GCCUGGGUGGCUCAGUCUGUUGAGCAUCCGACUUUGGCUCAGGUCAUGAUCUCGCAGUUUGUGGGUUCGAGCCCCACCUCAGGCU